GAGGGUAUAGCUCAAGUGGUAGAGCGCAUGCUUAGCAUGCAUGAGGUCCUGGGUUCAAUUCCCCAGCACCUCCU
rfam:Camelus ferus unplaced genomic scaffold scaffold661, whole genome shotgun sequence.